UCGCCUACUUGGGGCAGAUGCCGGGCGGGUCUCCCGCGAAACCCGCCCCACUGACAUCCCUACUCCCUCUCCUUCCUUCUCUCUUUCUCCAGCCUUCAUCCCCUUCCUCUCCUGUUUUUGCUUCCAAUGAGCACCUACAGCUCUUUUCCGUCAGGAGCAGUCUCAAAAUAAUUGAGAUAUACUGAUGGCAGUCUUCUUUCGUGGUUUUGUUGAUAGAUUGUCAUUUCCUUUUUCAGAAGAAUUCAAUACACAGAAAAUUCAAAAGGAAAACAACGGGGUCUAGAAAUUGGAAAACCUAAGAAGUAAUCUCCGACCCAUUUUACAAAUCUUACACCCACUCAAAUUUUUUUGGGUUUUUCAGCAAUUCCCCAUCAGAUUUUCAGUUUUUUUUUUUUUUUUAAAGAUUUUGCAGGCGAAUUGGUUGAUGUUGAUAGUAACAUUGAAUAGAAGACUCUUUGUGUUAUGAAACCUGAUCGUGCAAAGCUUAAGAUCAAAGUGUUAUUGAAUAAAAAAUGCUCUUGGAGCCUUGGAGGAGGAAGAAUGAUUUUUUUUUUGAAGAAUGAUUUCAAGGGUAUUGUGGCUCCUAACACGUUCAAGGUUGGGCUCGAGGAAGAUGGUUUGAGAUUGCUGCUGGUUAAACGUAGGUUGUUGUGUUUUUUUAGUACUCGGACUGGUACUGGGAGGGAUUUCCUAAGUGAGGGUGCAUCUCAGGCAAUGUCAGCUGGGACACAACUAAAGGAAGGUUGCCACAUAAACUGGAGUUUGCUGACACUAGGGAAUGCUAUCAGCUAAGGCUUUUGCAGAUCUGUUUCAUUUAUCAACACUAUUCCAGAGACUCCAGCUGAAAUCCAAAAAAGGGUUACUAUUGUGGAAAACUUUGACAAUUCUGAUUUACAAAGACCACACAGUGUGCUAGAAUUUUCACUAGAGACUCCAGUUGAAAUUCAACAAGCAGGAACAUUGGUUGAAAAGUCAGAGAGAUCUGGAUUACAAAGUUCUCACAGUGUUCUGGAGUCUUCACCAGAGACACCUGAUGAUGUCCAAAAAAUGGGACCACUUUUUGAAGAUUCAAUGAAAUUAGAUGCUUGAAGACCCCAAUGCGUGCUAAAAUCUCCACCUUAUCCGACACCCAUAUAAAUAAGUGCUGACGUGCAAAGACCAGGAAAGUUUAACACAACUCAAGGAAAUGGUCUAAUACGUUCCCAGUAUUUCCUUACAGUCCCUAUAGAGAAUCGUUGUAAGCUAGAUGAGUUGACAAAGAGAAUUUUGUUCUCGAUGAAUCAGAUGUAUCAGAUCAUGAUGGAGAAUACACAAAGCAAGGAGACAUUUCUAAAUUACAGUUUGAAGUGCCUAUGAUUAUAGCCAGGAAUUUGAAAAAAAUGGGAAUACUCUAAAGAAGUUUCACAGGAUGGAGAAACUCCAUGUAGUUUCCGUUGCCACGGGUAUGGUGUAUAGCAUGGCUUUAACUGAUGAUAGGGCGCUAUUUUACUGGGUUUCAUCUGAUCCUGAUCUCAAAUGCCAGCAGUUAUGUUAUCUUAAUGGAAAGAAAAUUGUCAGCAUUUCUGCCGGCAAGUACUGGCAUGGGGCAGUAACAUCGACUGGAUUACACAUUUACACCUGGGAUGGGAAGAAAGGUAAGGAUAAGACACCAGCAGUUACUAGGCUUCAUGGUGUGAAAAGAGAAACUAAAGUUUCCGUGGGUGAAACACAUUUACUGAUUGUUGGUUCCACUUAUCAUCAUGUCAGUGCUGUACUGUAAACAAUGUCUUAGGGGAGUUAGAUGAGGGAUUUAUGUACAAUGACAUGGAGUCUGACAGAGAUAGUUCUGGUUCUGAAAAGGAGAAUGUCGAUGACAAGUUAGGUGCUGAGUUUAAAAGGCCUUUGCGAGAAAGUGGCCACGCAGAGUUUGGUAGAACCACGAAAUGGUCUGCAAAUGUUGGAAAUUGCACAUACUUUGGGAGAAGAUGAUCUUCGGAAGUAUUGCGAGGUAUACUUUUGGUGUUAAAUUGUUGUCAAAUACUUAUUAAGUUAUUAUGGGUCUCAUCCUUCUUUGUUGUUGACAUAUAGCUGACAAGGAGUUGGUUGAUUUCAUUGAUUGUUUAUGACACUCUGGUUAUAUAAUUUAUAUGAGAAUAGAAUUUAGCCAUUUAGGUAGAAAGUGUUGGCAUGCUUUCUAUGACUUGUAUGGAUUUAAACAAAAUUCUAUAUGCUUUGCGAAGGGUGUAAGCAUUUUAUCUCGAGGAAAAAGGGAAACAUGUGCUGGUAAUGCAUAAGUUUUUCCAUUUUGUUUACAUUUAGUACACCUGCUGAACUGUUAGUUUUUAUAGAGGCUUGUCGGUGCAGGUGUUUUAAUUUUCUUUCAUGGUACUUGGAUUUGUUUUCCGCUCAUCUUCUUCAAGGAACUCAUUGUCCUCUUUUAUACCCCUUAAUAUAUUUUCUAUUUAUCACUUUCCUUUCAAAAAGAAAAGAAAACUGUCUUGUUACAUUAGAGCUUGAGAUGUCAUGUUGCUGGUGGUAACUCGGACUAUAUCAUGCACCCUGUAGACCAGUCAGAAUCAUGCUACAUCUUCUGGUGAGUAGAAUUGCUACUUCUGGUGACCAGUCAGAAAAUUGUCUUGUUACAUUAGAGCUUGAGAUGCAUGUUCACUUUAGCAUUUAUUUAGCUGGGGAACCGGGUGCGUACUUCUUAGAGCUAUAUUCUAGACAUAACUCUUUAUUAAAUGAAAGUCAGAAUUGCUUGAGUAAUUUCCUUUAAGUAUCAGUCAGAUAUCUUAUUUGAGAGUGUAUGAAUCCAUAUAUUGUUGUUGUUUACUUGUACUCCCUAAUAUUUAGACUUUUGAUCUCAACCAAAUGCACAUCAGAUCAGAGGAGAAAGAGUUAACCGAAGGAAUCUAUGAUAGAAGCUUAUUUUUGAAACUGAAUUAGGAACAAACCCUUUGAGGGGGGUUGUGGACCUCGAUGCCUCAAAGUUGACUGAGGGGAAGGUAAUCUUCCCGAUUCAUUCUUAUUAAUGUUUUCUCUUUGCUGGUAAAGAAUAGCUUUCGCAUAAAGAUGGCAAAAAUGAAGCAGUAAAGCAGAAAACCAGGAUCCCUGGAUUCCUGAUAAUGUAGAGGAGCCUAGAUUGAUUGACUGAACUUCCAGGAUUUUGUAGUUGAACUUCCUGUUUUCUUUAGAUGUUUUUUAUAUUAAAAAAAACAUUCAAUGCAGGAACUUCCUAGAUGUCAAACACCCUGUUAUCAAGAAAAAGAGGCAUUAUCUUUAGGUGAACGACUGGGUGAAUGCUGUUGUUGUCAAUGCAGUACAUCUAUGUUAUUAAGCAGCCGUUAUCUGAAUUCUUUUGUACAUAAUAAGGAGUUGUAAUUCUUUUGUACCUAUUUCCUAUAGACUAGUUGUAUUAUUGAUAUAACAGAACAUGAAUUUGUAAUCUAGAAUUACAAACACCCACAA